CAGCAGCCACGGGAAUACGUAGGUGGCAAGCGUUAUCCGGAAUUAUUGGGCGUAAAGCGCGCGUAGGCGGUUUCUUAAGUCUGAUGUGAAAGCCCACGGCUCAACCGUGGAGGGUCAUUGGAAACUGGGAAACUUGAGUGCAGAAGAGGAAAGUGGAAUUCCAUGUGUAGCGGUGAAAUGCGCAGAGAUAUGGAGGAACACCAGUGGCGAAGGCGACUUUCUGGUCUGUAACUGACGCUGAUGUGCGAAAGCGUGGGGAUCAAACAGGAUUAGAUACCCGGGUAGUCCCUGUCUCUUAUAC
rnacentral:rRNA from 1 species